GCCGUCGUAGAGAAAUGGUAACUCGCCGGACUUCUAAUCCGUAGAUUGUCAGUUCGAGUCUGACCGGCGGCG